GUCGGGUUGUUGUCUCUUUGACAUAUUCCCCAUUUCCGUUCUCGAUUUUAUUUGUCCAUUAUUUUUAAUAAAAUUGAGAAUGGAAAUGGGGAAUAUGCCAAAGAGACAACAACCCGGC
rnacentral:sRNA from 1 species